rnacentral:rRNA from 1 species
GCUUACGGCCACACCUCCCUGAGCACGCCCGAUCUCGUCUGAUCUCGGAAGCUAAGCAGGGUCGGGCCCGUUUAGUACUUGGAUGGAGACCGCCUGUGAAUACCAGGUGCGGUAAGCC